rnacentral:lncRNA from 1 species
CGAAGGGAGAAGGAAAAGACCCAUCCAGAAUCCAAUUAUGUUAACUCAUCUCUGCUAUUGAUCCUACAUUCCAGGCCUGGGAAAAAACCCCAAAACCUAAUUACUGCACCGCUAAUGACUGAGAUGACAAAUCGAGGAGCCUCCAGGCUGCUGAUGGAGGAAGACCCUCCCUACCUCCCACCCGAGGCUGCGUGAGAUAAAGUCAGACAUCACCCAAACGGAGCUCAGAGACAUGAACGCUCUAAAAGGAACAUGAACAAAGCGAACAGUCAUUGGAAGAUGUUGAGGAGACUCUCUCAUAAGUGUGGAGUGCGUUAGGUUUUCUAAAUCAAAACUUUAAACCCGGAUGUCACAAGCAACAUUCAGUUAUGUAAAAAGUUUCAACAGUGUUAUUAAAAAAAGCCACCGUAAACGAAGCAGAUGACAGUUACAUGCAGGAGAAAAUAUUGCAGCAUAUAAAACAGGAACGAGAUUAACACUCAGAAUAAAUAAAGAACGCCUAUAAAUCAAUGAGAGAAGAGAGACAAAUAGGCAAUGUGCACGGCUGAUUUACAGAAGAAGCUGCACACACAUGGCCGUGAACAUCUGAAGGAUACGCGUCUUCCGGAGAAUCGGCAGCUCAAAAUGCAACAAGGCUCUGUCGUUACGCCGUCGCACAUUGGCAGUCAUUUCUAACCAGGGAUAAUUUAAUUUCAGGGGAGUUUCCAGGGGAACAGGAGCACCAGGAGACAUUUGGUAUGAGGCUAGAUUGGUGAAGUCAUUUUGGAAACAAUUGCUUGUUGAUAUAAAAAGUGACAGCACAUGAGCUGAGCGAUUCUACUUUGAGAAAUGGAAAUGAAGAGACAGAACGGGGGCUGCAAACCCGCCGCACCAAGCUACCUGUGCAGGUGCAUAGAAAUGUCCAGGAAGCAACGCUCAGCACGAUGAUGCUUAGGACGCAAAUCUUUUUUUUUUUUUUUUUUUUUU